GAACGCACAUUGCGCCCGCCAGUAUUCUGGCGGGCAUGCCUGUUCGAGCGUCAUUUCAACCAUCAAGCCCCCGGCUUGUGUUGGGGACCUGCGGCUGCCGCAGGCCCUGAAAACCAGUGGCGGGCUCGCUAGUCACUCCGAGCGUAGUAAUACAUCUCGCUCAGGGCGUGCUGCGGGUUCCGGCCGUUAAAAGCCUUAUUUACCCCAAGGUUGACCUCGGAUCAGGUAGGAAGACCCGCUGAACUUAAG
rnacentral:misc_RNA from 1 species